rnacentral:lncRNA from 1 species
UGACCCUGAAUGUAAUUAAGGUCCUAGGGUUAAUGAAUCAUUUGCAGAAUGUUGUAAUAACACUCCUCAGGGAGAGAGGCAGACAAAAGGGCCUUGCCCUAACAUAAAACAGAUGCCAACGGCAGAACUGCAUGGCAAACCAGUGAGGUUUUGCAGUUUCAGAAGUAAGUAUACCACUGAAAUGCCCACUUCUAGUAAACCAUGACUCAGCAAUGAAUGAAUGUUGUAUCCCUGGAGCUCCAUCUUGGGUGUUGGGGACCCUGUGGAUCAUUCAAGCAUCAGCUUUCUGGGUCUUGUUCACUGAUUGAUUACUUAGUUUUAGGAGCCUCUCUCCUCCCCUCUGAAGGGACAUGUUCAAAAUCUAAAGAAACUGGUUUCAAAACAGUCCAGAAAAACUGGAAUGUUACUUAAGAGUUGGGUUCUCUAAGUCCAGAUUUAGGAACUUCAGACAAACUAUUUAAAUUGACAAAUGACAGAUGCAGUGGGAAUGGUGGGGAUGAGAAGAAUAAUUGUUGUUAAAGAUUCAUGAAAUUUGAGGUUUCAUAGUCAUAAUUGGAAUUUGGUUGAUGUUAUUUGGUUGACUUAUACAGUUACAUCUCCCUGCAUAGUAUCUGUAAUCUUGAACCCACUCAUCUACUCAUUUUGGAAGGAAUGUAAUUUUUAUAAACAUUGGUAUUCAAUUUUUUUUUCUAGCUUUUUUAUCUUCCUGCCAAGAAGAAUGUGGAUUCCAUUUUGGAGGAUUAUGCAAAUUAUAAGAAGUCUCGAGGAAAUACAGAUAAUAAGUAAGAAUGUACCCUUUUUGAGUAUACACAAAGUACUGUUUUAGGUAUAACUGAAGGUAUCCUGUAGGUGCUUUACAGUCGUUAAAAGUUUUACUAUUUUGAGGCUGCUGCUGCUGCUGCUGCUGUUGUGCAUGCCUUUAAUCCCAGCACUCAAGAGGCUGAGGUAGGAUCUCUGAGGCUGGUCUACAGAGUAAGUUCCAGGACAGCCAGGGCUACGCAGAGAAACACUCUCUCGAAAAACCAAAAAAAAAAAAAAAAAAAAAAAAAAAGCUUGAAAGCAUAAAUGCCGCCUUACUUUUAUAUAACUUUGAAAUUGGUUUUAGUUGUUAAGUCUGAGCCAUACUUCUUUACCUUUACUCUCCUCAGAAGGGAAAUAUUUUGAAAGUAAUGUUUUUUCUUUUUCAGAGAGUAUGCUGUUAAUGAGGUGGUGGCAGGCAUAAAGGAGUACUUCAAUGUCAUGUUGGGCACUCAGCUCCUCUACAAGUUUGAGAGACCACAGUACGCUGAAAUCCUCGCCGACCACCCGGAUGCGCCCAUGUCCCAGGUGUACGGAGCGCCACAUUUGCUGAGAUUAUUUGGUAAUAAGACUUUUAAGAAAAGUGAUUUUUCUCUUUUUUCCCUGUUUUGAGCCUUUAAUAAUUGAGUUUUUGGUCCUUACUAAAUGACAGAGUUAAAAUAACUGACAGAUGACUAUUUCAGUUUGAAUCUUUAUUUAAUAUUUUACUUACAUUUUUAAAUGCCAAACCCUUCUUUGC